GUGCCCCGCGGUAAGACGUAGGGUCCAAGCGUUGUCCGGAUUUACUGGGCGUAAAGAGCGCGUAGGCGGCUUGAUAAGUGUGAUGUGAAAUCUCCAGGGCUUAACCCGGAACUGCACCGCAGACUGUCAGGCUUGAGGAAUGCAGAGGUAACUGGAAUUCCUGGUGUAGCGGUGAAAUGCGUUGAUAUCAGGAGGAACACCCAUGGCGAAGGCAGGUUACUGGGCAUUAUCUGACGCUGAGGCGCGAAAGCGUGGGUAGCAAACAGG
rnacentral:rRNA from 1 species